CCAAUCUAGAGGUACCAGAGCUUGGGAUAUUGCCAGGAUUUUAAAAAAAUGAUCAGUGUUGUAUAUACUGCUGCCUAAGCUAGUCAACUUUUUUUUCUCUCACUGUGAAGUAUAGCUUUUCUAAGUCAACAGUUUAACUUAUACAUUUUCAACAUAUAAACAUUUAGGCUGGGUUUUAACAUUUACACUGUGUGUCUUUUACAAAUGACAGGAUACCACCACUACUGAGAAUGUUUCAUUAAAAUGAGAAUACUACAUCCUUAGAAGAAAUGUUAUAACCUGGUAUCUAAAACCUAGAUCUGACCACUUUCAUGCUCAGUGUCUUUUGAGGGGUGUUUAGAUUUUUUUUUUUUAAUUUUUAGCCAAGAAUUAUGAUCCCCGCAUGAAUCUUGCAGUGUUUUGAGCUCCCAAUGCCAGAUUCUUACUGAGAUACCAAUGAUAGUUGGAUUUUUAAAUGAUCUCAUUAGCACCUCAUAGCAACCUGUGAAACUGCUAGAGCAGAUGUGAGUAUCUUCACCUUACAGAUGGGAACGUGAGUUGCAAAGAGGUGAGAAGACAAGUGACCAGUUUGUGGUAGAGCUGGAAUUCAUAGUCAAGUUUUCCAGCUUUUAAAACUCAUGCUCAUAUUUUAAAUUAGACCCCCAAAAUUUAUGUACCUUGAUGCUUUUUGUUCCCAAACUGUCUUCCCAUUGUGUGUUCUAAGGAACAUGCUCAUUUAAACUUCUGGCUGUUUCCUCUAAAAGCAGCUCAAAAUAACUUCAAUGAAAUGUGGAUUAACAAAAAAAGUAUUCUUUGUUUUCUUUGGGAACUGUUACAUAAGUUCUGCUUGACAUGAUUCUUUGUGUUUUGUUUGGCUUUUACUGUUGCUUGGGCAGGGGAAAUUAAU
rnacentral:lncRNA from 10 species